AAUUUAUUUUAUCGUCGCAUUUUGGAUUGCGGAAGACAAAACGAAAAUACUAUCGGCUCGUUAUGUACAUCCGGUAGUUGACAGGUGAAGUAAUGUCGAAUCGUUUACAGGACUCCGGCGGCUUUGAGGUCUGCGAGCAUCUUGACGACGUGCUCGGGCAUGGGUGGAGGAGUGGGGAGGUGGUCGCCGGUGGCCUGGAAUCCGUUUUCAUCGGCCACCCAAUUGACGGUGAGGACGACGCCGUCGGGAGUCGUGAACGAGUAGGAGC